rnacentral:rRNA from 1 species
CCCUUAGAUGUUCUGGGCGGCCCGCGCACUACAAUGGCGUGUGCAGCGAGUGCCGAAGUAGAGUUUUCCGAGGUAUUCUUGCAAUGCUCGUUUUGAUGGGGAUAGACCCUUGCAACUGUUGGUUUUGAACGAGGAAUUCCUUGUAAGCAUGGUUUAUCAUCCGACGCUGAAUGCGUCCCUGCCCUUUGUACACACCGCCCGUCGUUCCUACCGAUGAGUCGUCCGGUGAAGUUCGUAGACCUCGUGAUCGCGGAUCACUGGGGGAAGCAAAAUGAACCUCGCGGUUUAGAGGAAGGAGAAGUCGUAACA